rnacentral:rRNA from 1 species
UACGGAGGGGGCGAGCGUUGUCCGAAGUUACUGGGCGUAAAGCGCGCGUAGGCGGGUAGACAAGUCCGCUGUGAAAGCCCGGUGCUUAACACCGGAGGGUCGGUGGAUACUGUUUGCCUUGAAGGUGCUAGGGAGAGGUGGAAUUACCGGUGUAGCGGUGAAAUGCGUAGAGAUCGGUAGGAACACCAGUGGCGAAGGCGGCUAUCUGGACGGUUUCUGACGCUAAGACGCGAAAGCGUGGGGAGCAAACAGG